GAUGAACGCUGACAGAAUGCUUAACACAUGCAAGUCUUUGGCGAAGCUGUGCUUGCACAGCCUAGCCAAGGCGGACGGGUGAGUAACGCGUAAGGAACUUGCCCUGCAGUCAGGGAUAACAGACGGAAACGACUGAUAAGACCUGGUAAAGUCAGGCGGACUCAUGUCCAGCCUGAUGAAAAGAGCUGCUGCAGGGGAGCCUUGCGUCCUAUUAGCUGGUUGGUGGGGUAACGGCCCACCAAGGCGAUGAUAGGUAGCCGGCCUGAGAGGGUGGACGGCCACAAGGGGAAUGAGAUACGGCCCUUACGACUACGGGAGGCAGCAGUGGGGAAUAUUGGACAAUGGUGGCAACCCUGAUCCAGCAAUUCUGUGUGCACGAUGAAGGUUUUCGGAUUGUAAAGUGCUUUCAGCAGGGAAGAAAAAAAUGACGGUACCUGCAGAAGAAGCGACGGCUAAAUACGUG
rnacentral:rRNA from 1 species